UACGUAGGGGGCUAGCGUUGUCCGGAUUUAUUGGGCGUAAAGAGCGUGUAGGCGGCCAGGUAGGUCACUGUGAAAACUCGAGGCUCAACCUCGAGACGCCGGUUGAAACCAUCUGGCUAGAGUCCGGAAGAGGAGAGUGGAAUUCCUGGUGUAGCGGUGAAAUGCGCAGAUAUCAGGAAGAACACCCGUGGCUAAGGCGGCUCUCUAGUACGGUACUGACGCUGAGACGCGGAAAGCGUGGGGAGCGAACAGG
rnacentral:rRNA from 1 species